rnacentral:rRNA from 1 species
UACGUAGGGUGCAAGCGUUGUCCGGAAUUAUUGGGCGUAAAGAGCUCGUAGGCGGUUUGUCGCGUCUGCUGUGAAAACCCGAGGCUCAACCUCGGGCCUGCAGUGGGUACGGGCAGACUAGAGUGCGGUAGGGGAGAUUGGAAUUCCUGGUGUAGCGGUGGAAUGCGCAGAUAUCAGGAGGAACCCCAAUGGCGAAGGCAGAUCUCUGGGCCGUAACUGACGCUGAGGAGCGAAAGCAUGGGGAGCGAACAGG